ACGAACGCUGGCGGCGUGCUUAACACAUGCAAGUCGAACGGAAAGGCCCUGCUUUUGUGGGGUGCUCGAGUGGCGAACGGGUGAGUAACACGAGAGUAACCUGCCCUUGACUUUGGGAUAACUUCAGGAAACUGGGGCUAAUACCGGAUAGGAGCUCCUGCUGCAUGGUGGGGGUUGGAAAGUUUCGGCGGUUGGGGAUGGACUCGCGGCUUAUCAGCUUGUUGGUGGGGUAGUGGCUUACCAAGGCUUUGACGGGUAGCCGGCCUGAGAGGGUGACCGGCCACAUUGGGACUGAGAUACGGCCCAGACUCCUACGGGAGGCAGCAGUGGGGAAUAUUGCACAAUGGGCGGAAGCCUGAUGCAGCAACGCCGCGUGCGGGAUGACGGCCUUCGGGUUGUAAACCGCUUUCGCCUGUGACGAAGCGUGAGUGACGGUAAUGGGUAAAGAAGCACCGGCUAACUACGUG
rnacentral:rRNA from 1 species